GGAUCCAUAGCGUAAUGGUAGCGCGUUUGACUCCAAAUCAGAAGGUUGCAUGUUCGAUUUAUGUUGGGUUCA